AGCCGAGGGGCGGGGCCGGCAGCUCAUCUCCUGCGGGGGCAUUGCAGGGGUUCUUGGCUCAAGUAAGCGAUUCUGCGGCUCGCGAUGCCAGGAUUCUGGGUAGCGCAGAGUAGCUGGGCCACUGGAGAGUCGGGACCGCCUGUCUCCCGCAGCUCUGCCCCUUAACCCGGUCUGUGCAACUUUGGAGCUGUGGUUUUUUUGCCCCCUUAAACCGAAGAUACGACCUGUGGCGCCAUUAACCUGUGUGCUUCCCUAAGGGCAUUAGUACUGGAGGGAGCAAGUGGAUGCUGGGUUCUGGGUCCAAGCGGGAACCCCUAGGACUGGUUUUCCGGAGCCAGGAAACAGUUGUUUGACUUGUCUUAUACCACGUGAUCGCCCUGCGGGCUCUCUUGGACCGGUUAGUUUAAUUUGCUUGCGGUCAGCCCUUUGAGGCGUGAAGCCCAGAGGGCCUGCUUUUUAUCUUCCCACUAUUUAAUUGCUGUGUUCUUUUACAGAAAAUGACAACUGUCUCUCGGAAUAGACACGGAAGAAAACUGUCAAAUGUGACUAAUAAAGGGCAGGGCAGGCAGUGUGCAUACUGCACCCUGUGGACUUUGCCCAAAAGGGAAUUUAGGGCCUAAAUGUGGGCCAUAGAGAUUGGGACUGUGAAAGGGUGCGUAGUAAAUAUCUUGCUUCUGUCUGUGCGUUUAUAUGAGCUUUGCUCAUAUCGAUUUAGAGGGCCUUAUUUUCUUGAUGUCUUCCAUUCCCUAUGGCUCCUACACUCUUGGGGUUCCCUGAGGCCUGUGGGGAGGGAUUUAAAGAACCCAUAAAAGGCUGGGUAUUCCAAGGUCUCUCACUCUCAGCAGAAUAUCUGGCUGUGGGUCUCUGUAUUUGUUCCUAUCUGCUGCAGAAAGAAGCUUCUUUGAUGAUGGCUGAACUUAUCUAUGAGUAUAGCAGAGUGUCAUUAGAAGCCAUUUUAUCAUUGUCUCUUUUUUUCUUUUUUCUUUUUCUUUCUUUUUUACCAGUUGUGGUUUGAAUAUACUUGGCCCGUGGGAAGUGGCACUAUCAGGAGGCAUGGCCUUAUUGGAGGAGAUGUGGCCUUAUUAGAGGAAGUGUGUCACUGUGGAGGAGGGAAAAGGAAGAGUCUCUGGUGGUAAACGGGAGGUGGCAAAAGGCUUCACAUCUGGAGAAAUGGAAGAUCCGCCAGGGCCCCACCCAACAGUAUAAAAGGGAUGAAGUUGCUGGAAUUGGAGACUCUGAGUCAAAACCUGUUGACAUUCAACUGUGGCGGAUGGUGGCUGACUCUGGCGCUGUACACAAACUACAUGGAAAGCUCUGCAGGCAUAGGGAGCCCCAGAAUUUCAGGAUUUGGGGAGUUGUUACCCAUGUUGGAAUAGCAUUUCUGAUGAUGCAGCUCUUUUCGAGUUAUCCUGGCUUCUUGUAAGCAACUCCUCACCCAUACUCCUGUAAAUAAUAUCCUAGUAAAUAAAAACUCACUGGUUCACCAAA